rnacentral:tRNA from 1 species
UCUGCGUGUAGCUCAGCUUGGUCAGAGUGUUCCGUUUGGGGCGGAAAAGCCGGAGGUUCGAAUCCUCUCACGCAGACCAU